AAUGCCCAGCAUAGGAUACUAUGUGAAAAUCAUUUGAAUGAAUCUUCAUUUACCAGCAGCGAUAGGAAAAGACUUAACAAGUUAGAUUAAGAGUGAAUAGAGGAGGAUAUAGACCAAUUAAAAAACAAACAUUGUAGUCCAUAUAGAGCAAGUUAUGACAUCCAAGAACCAUCAACUAGCAAAGGUAUUUUGUAGGACUUGGACGUGAAAAAGUUCAGUGAACUUACACCUCAAAAGCAAACGCUGUCUAAGAGAUGCAGAAAAAAUCUAUCUGAAAUAGUGAGGCUCUGAAAAAAGUUUCAAGGAGAUUGUGACACAGCAGACAAGUCAGCAGCUCUUGUCGAGGAGGUACAGUAAAGUGGAGCCACAUAGAGGAGUUUUAUAAUAAAGAUCGCGAGAAUCCCAACCGUGUUUGCUCCAGCUUUAACCCAGCACCACUUACAACCAGUACAGAAUGGCAAACAGAAAAUCAAAGAGCGCCUAGCAGAUCAAAUUUUAAGCCAUUCGGUUGCAGUUGGAAUAUUUGCCAAAAUGAAUGAUGACAAGACGCCCCUGGAACAACUGUCGCUGGACAAGCUUUUCGACUGAACGGAGAUUCGACCGACAGGAAAGAGGUAUAAACACUUAUUAUAAUAAUACUUGACAUCUGUAAUUGUGGAUGUGAUCCAAACCCCACGUCGGUCCAAUUAAAAACUAGCUUAGGCAAUUAGUAGCAGCGUUUUUAAUACGCUGAAAUUAUUAUUCUUCGAAGACACUAAACCUAGCUGCGCAACUGAAUAUCCCUGUAACAGCCAGAUGGAACCUCCAACCUCCCAGGGAAAUUAAGUGGCAUCGCCGACUCAGCUACGCCUACGUCUGGCUAUGCUCUCGGGGUGUAACUCCCAUGAU